CUGGCUCAGGAUGAACGCUAGCGGCAGGCCUAAUACAUGCAAGUCGAACGGGAUUGCCUCCUCGGGAGGCAUGAGAGUGGCGCACGGGUGCGCAACGCGUAUGCAACAACCCCCGACAGGCGGAUAGCCGGUGGAAACGCCGGAUAAUACGCCAUGGUUCCGUGGGAGGGCAUCCUCCUGAGGAUAAAGCCGAGAGGCGGUCGGGGACGGGCAUGCGUCCCAUUAGAUGGUAGGCGGGGUGACGGCCCACCUAGUCCACGAUGGGUAGGGGAUCUGAGAGGACGGUCCCCCACACUGGUACUGAGACACGGACCAGACUCCUGCGGGAGGCAGCAGUAAGGGAUAUUGGUCAAUGGGCGGAAGCCUGAACCAGCCAAUGCCGCGUGAGGGAAUGAGGCCCUACGGGUCGUGAACCUCUUUUAUUCGGGGACAAGGACGCGGUCGGGAACCGUGUUUGAGGGUACCGAAGGAAUAAGCGUCGGCUAACUCCGUGCCAGCAGCCGC
rnacentral:rRNA from 1 species